rnacentral:misc_RNA from 1 species
GAUGAAGAACGUAGCGAAAUGCGAUACUUGGUGUGAAUUGCAGAAUCCCGUGAACCAUCGAGUCUUUGAACGCAAGUUGCGCCCGAAGCCAUUAGGCCGAGGGCACGCCUGCCUGGGCGUCACACGUCGUUGCCCCCCCAUCUACUCCUUCGGGAUUGCGGGGGGCGGAUGAUGGCCUCCCGUGCGCCUCGUCGCGCGGUUGGCAUAAAUACCAAGUCCUCGGCGACGCACGCCACGACAAUCGGUGGUUGCGAAACCUCGGUUGCCCGUCGUGUGCGGUCGUCGCGCAUCGAGGGCUCGAAAAAAUUGCCGGGCUCCGGCUCGGCUUUCAACGCGACCCCAGGUCAGGCGGGGUUACCCGCUGAAUUUAAGCAUAUCAAUAAGCGGAGA